CGUUGCUAUAGACUGGGAGAGAGGAAGGAGACCUUUAAUACAAUUUAAACUUGGAAUGGAUUGGGUAAGAGCGUUACUGUAGACUAGGAAAGAGGAAGGAGACCUUUAAUACAAUUUAAACUUGGAAUGGAUUGGGUAAGAGUGUUGCUAUAGACUAGGACAGAGGAAGGAGACCUUUCAUACAAUUUAAACUUGGAAUGGAUUGGGUAAGAGCGUUACUGUAGACUAGGAGAGAGGAAGGAGACCUUUAAUACAAUUUAAACUUGGAAAGAUGUUUUCCUUUGAGUGAAGACCACUAAGUGAGGAGGAAGGAGCUUGCAAGCCGCCGGGUCAUGCACCACUACCCAGACAGUGUUGUUGCCUGCCCAGCAGCCAUUUCUCUCAGGUCUUCUCUGCUAGUGCAGCCUCAGUUUUGCUCAGAUACUGGCUGAAAAGUCCCCAACCUCAGAGGAGGCCAGUUCCUGCCUCAAGCCGGGGGAUAAACCGUGGUUGCUCAGAAACAGCCAUGGGGCUCCCUUUCCAUGCCAGUAGGUUAGGCCGUGUGUGCCUGUGUGCCCAACUCUUGCCAUAAAGUGUAGGAGAAACUUGGCCAGGGGAUGCUAUGGAAAAUAUUUUUCCCAGAUGAAAAGGAGUAUCUUCCCAGAGAGAAAGCUUCCUUCUGCACCUGUCUCCUACCUUUCUCCUUCAGAUGUUGCUGUUUGGAGCUGAGGCAGCCGUCCUGUGACCAUCUGUCAACAAAGAUAAACUAACUGAGGCUCAGACCUACAAAAGUUAAGCAGGAAAGAACACAGCGAUGGGAUGGAAGCCACAGCCCAGAGCCCUGGGCCCCUGGCAGGACACUUCCUGUCCCCCUCUGCGCCCUGAGCAGCCAGUUUCCAGUUCAGGGCUUUGUAGCUGAGCGCGCAGCCCCAGCCUUGCUGACAUAGCACCUUCGACCCAGGCUUUGCAGGUAGCCGGCGGCGGGGAACAGUGGCCAAGUCCCCCGGGGGGUCUGGUGAGCAAGGGCAGGGGGAGAUUCGUGACAGGAACGAUGCCCAGGGUGAAACAGAAGGGGCGAUAAGCAGUGCCCCGCCAGCCCACGAGCCACAGGGAGCCACACGGAGACGUCACGCGGCACACGUGGAGUCCCACACCCACGUCGCACAGAGUCCGGGCUCUACACAUCUGCAGGUGGCUUGCACAUCAGGAAAACCAGUGAAGCCCCCGCGGAAGGAAGCCUUUCCUAGCUGCGCGUGCCGGUUGGAUACAGCCCGAAUUAGUGCUAUUUUCCAACGUGAAGUUCUGUUUUGGCCGAAAUAAGAAAGCGACCCACACUCGGAAGGAAGCACCUGAGACUCGUGUCCUUCCUCGUUGGCUCGUUGGUGCUCGGCGGCGCCAGACCGCUGUCCGAGAGACGACAUCUCAGCGGACACAGCGCAUCUGUGUGGCCAGCACAGAUACAGAGAACCCCGGAGUAAGCCUCCUCCCGCCUCCCCAAACCCACACCCAUGCCAGCGUUUCCGCGCUCACCCCGUUGUCCCUGCAGGCCCUGGCUGGGCAUGAACUGGGCGCCUUCAUCCCAGCGCCGUGUCCGGGUGCGCGCCGAAAAGGCCGAAUUCCGGUUUCUUGCAGCCAGCAGGGGGGCCUUGGCUUUCCAUCAAGAUUUUUUCCCAGGAGGAUAUUAUCUCACGUGAACAAAACUCAGGAGGAGUCAGAAUAGGCUCCGGAAGAACUCUGUGCUCUCUGACUUUUUAAAACCUUACAGAAACAGCAGCCCACCCCAGGCUCCUGGUGCUGUGAAGGCUGAUUCCGAUUCCCAGGAGGUGGGCAGUGUCUCCUGGCGUCUGUUUCUGCCCCUGCUAAUAGGGCUGGAUGCGGAGCUUUUCUGACCUGAGGGAAGAUCAGGGAACCCACUACUAAUUCACUCAGGUGCCAGCGACCCAGGAUCUUAUCCAUAAAGACUCUAGAGUGCUGAAGCAGCUCCCAAGAACCCGGAAAAUGCAAAAUAAAUUUCUCCUCCCUAAAAAUAAAAAGUAAUGCAGAAGACAGGCACUUUUAAUAUCAACAUGAAAACAAAGC
rnacentral:lncRNA from 10 species